UACAGAGGUCUCAAGCGUUGUUCGGAUUCAUUGGGCGUAAAGGGUGCGUAGGCGGCGCGGUAAGUCGGGUGUGAAAUCCCUCAGCUCAACUGAGGAACGGCGCCCGAAACUGCUGUGCUCGAGGAAGAUAGAGGUACGCGGAACUUAGGGUGGAGCGGUGAAAUGCGUUGAUAUCCUAAGGAACACCGGUGGCGAAAGCGGCGUACUGGGUCUUUUCUGACGCUGAGGCACGAAAGCUAGGGUAGCGAACGGGG
rnacentral:rRNA from 1 species